AGAUGGCGACCGGCGCACGGGUGAGUAACACGUAUCCAACCUGCCGAUAACUCGGGGAUAGCCUUUCGAAAGAAAGAUUAAUACCCGAUGGCAUAAUUAGACCGCAUGGUCUUAUUAUUAAAGAAUUUCGGUUAUCGAUGGGGAUGUGUUCCAUUAGGCAGUUGGUGAGGUAACGGCUCACCAAACCUUCGAUGGAUAGGGGUUCUGAGAGGAAGGUCCCCCACAUUGGAACUGAGACACGGUCCAA
rnacentral:rRNA from 1 species